rnacentral:rRNA from 1 species
CGUGGAGUGAUUUGUCUGGUUUAUUCCGAUAACGAGCGAGACUCUAACCUACUAAAUAGCUGGUACAUACUCUUAGUGCAUACAGCUUCUUAGAGGGAUUUGCGGUGUUCAGCCGAAAGAAAUUGAGCAAUAACAGGUCUGUGAUGCCCUUAGAUGUCCGGGGCUGCACGCGCGCUACACUGGCAAAAUCAACGUGCUUGUCCUACCCCGAAGGGGGCGGGUAAACCAUUGAAAAUUUGCCGUGAUUGGGAUCGGAAAUUGCAAUUAUUUUCCGUGAACGAGGAAUUCCAAGUAAGUGCGAGUCAUCAGCUCGCGUUGAAUACGUCCCUGCCCUUUGUAC